GGAGCCGGCCGGACGGCCGCAGUCCGCCGCUGGCGGGUUGAGGAAAGUCCGGACUCCACAGGGCAGGACGCUGGGGAAAAUCCCAGGCGGGGCGACCCGCGGCAAGUGCAACAGAAAGUAGACCGCCUCGGCUCGCCGAGGUAAGGGUGAAAGGGUGAGGUAAGAGCUCACCGGCGCGGCGGGUGACCGUCGCGGCCAGGUAAACCCCGUCCGGAGCAAGGCCAAGCAGGAGGUAAGGGUUGCCCGCCCGCUUCGACGAUCGGCAUGCCGGUCGAAGCGCCUCCGGGUAGGCCGCACGAGGCGAACGGCAACGUUCGUCCCAGAUGGAUGGCCGUCGAUUACAGAAUCCGGCUUACAGGCCGGCUCCUCAC
rnacentral:RNase_P_RNA from 1 species